rnacentral:rRNA from 1 species
UACGGAGGGGGCUAGCGUUGUUCGGAAUCGCUGGGCGUAAAGCGCACGUAGGCGGCUUGUUAAGUCAGGGGUGAAAUCCUGGAGCUCAACUCCAGAACUGCCUUUGAUACUGGCAAGCUUGGAGUCCGGGAGAGGUGAGUGGAACUGCGAGUGUAGAGGUGGAAUUCGUAGAUAUUCGCAAGAACACCAGUGGCGAAGGCGGCUCACUGGCCCGAUACUGACGCUGAGGCACGAAAGCGUGGGGAGCAAACAGG